ensembl:lncRNA
UGCUGACAAGCACCACCCUGUGUUUUGGGGAUGAACCAAAUCUUCAUGACAUUAGACCCGUGGAUUCCUGGCUCUGAAAACUAACGCGAAAAGUCCCCCUGCUCUGCCAGCUGGCCCACCCAGGGCCCGCCUCUGCAGGCCGGAAAUGGAGUCUGGCCGGCCGGAAGUCUAAGAGUUACUUCCGGUGCCCCUGACACUGCCACCCCAAUAGAGCUGAGAGUCUCAAGUCUCCUGACCUCUCUUCAUUUUCCCAUCACAAUGAACUUCAGGUGAUGGGCGAGGUAUUCGUGCCUACAAAGAUCUACUAACGACCUUCUUGGUGUUUAAACACAGGCUGUCUGGUCUACAUGUCUUAACCUGGGCCCUGAACCCAAAUACGGACAACGAGGGAGGACUGCACUCUCUGCUUGGGGGCAAGCCUGGAGGCUUUUCUGGGUAAACAGCCCACCUGCAAUGCAAGAGACAUAGGAGACAUGG